GUCCUAGCCGUAAACGAUGGACACUAAAUGGAGGGGGGUUUACCUUUCUCUGUUGCAGCUAACGCGUUAAGUGUCCCGCCUGGGGAGUACGGCCGCAAGGUUAAAACUCAAAGGAAUUGACGGGGGCUCGCACAAGCGGUGGAGCAUGUGGUUCAAUUCGAUGCAACGCGAAGAACCUUACCCGGGCUUGAAGUGGAGAUGGUAGAAACCGGAAACGGUAACGACCCCGAAAGGGGAGUCUUCAUCAGGUGUUGCAUGGCUGUCGU
rnacentral:rRNA from 1 species